CUGAAAAUUAUUAUUUAAUUAAAUAUUUAUUAUUUAAUUAAAAUAAUAAUUGGAUGUUAAUCUACAUCUCGAGUAGAUCAACGUGAUAUACUUGAAGUCUCAAAACUGAUUUCCGGUGAGUGAGAUAUUGUAUGUCAAAGUUUGGAUGUUGAAGAGGGAAAAUCAGUUUCAACUUCUGCGUUCAACGAUUGCGGCCACCUACCGCAGCCGCCGGAAUUGACUGUUUCAACUUCUGCGUUCAACGAUUGCGGCCACCUACCGCAGCCGCCGGAGUUGACUGCCGAUCCGUUCACACUCGGUUUAACACCUAUAAAUAUGGUUCGCCGGAGCUCGCCGGAUUGUGGUGCUACAUCCGCCGAGACGAAGUCGUUUUACCUUUGGGGAAGAUACGCCAAACCGAAGAGCACUACCGGGGCGAUAAUCUUCUUGCGGGAAGAGAUUCAUCUCGACUCGACUUAGUUUAUACGUAUAAUUUAUUUAUACAGUAUAUUUCAGUUGUAUACAAUUAUUUGAGUUGUAAUUUCUCAAAUUAUUUUCUUUGUAAUAUUUUCAAUUAUUUUGAGUUGUAAUAUCUCAAAAUAUUUAUUUUGUAAUA